rnacentral:rRNA from 1 species
UUUAACGGCCGCGGUAUCCUGACCGUGCGAAGGUAGCGUAAUCAUUUGUCUUUUAAAUAGAGACCUGUAUGAAUGGCAUAACGAGGGUUUAACUGUCUCCCUCCCCCAGUCAAUGAAAUUGAUCUGCCCGUGCAGAAGCGGACAUAAACACAUAAGACGAGAAGACCCUAUGGAGCUUUAGACAAAAGAUCAAACAUGUAAAGAAACCAAACCAACCAAAAGGAACACAAAGGCCACAAAACCCAACGUAAAAUGAUCAAAAUGUCUUCGGUUGGGGCGACCAUGGGGGAAAGAAAAGCCCCCACGAGGAACUAAGGGCAAUCCAUUAAGCCAAGAGAUACACCUCUAAGCAACAGAAAAUCUGACCAAAAAUGACCCAGGACACUAAUCCUGAUCAACGAACCAAGUUACCCUAGGGAUAACAGCGCAAUCCUUUCCCAGAGUCCAUAUCGACGAAAGGGUUUACGACCUCGAUGUUGGAUCAGGACAUCCUAAUGGUGCAGCCGCUAUUAAGGGUU